AUACGUAUGUCGCAAGCGUUAUCCGGAUUUAUUGGGCGUAAAGCGCGUCUAGGCGGCUUAGUAAGUCUGAUGUGAAAAUGCGGGGCUCAACCCCGUAUUGCGUUGGAAACUGCUAAACUAGAGUACUGGAGAGGUAGGCGGAACUACAAGUGUAGAGGUGAAAUUCGUAGAUAUUUGUAGGAAUGCCGAUGGGGAAGCCAGCAUACUGAACAGAUACUGACGCUAAAGCGCGAAGGCGUGGGUAGCAAACAGGAUUAGAUACCCUGGUAGUCCACGCCGUAAACGAUGAUUACUAGGUGUUGGGGGUCGAACCUCAGUGCCCAAGCUAACGCGAUAAGUAAUCCGCCUGGGGAGUACGUUCGCAAGUAUGAAACUCAAAUGAAUUGACGGGG
rnacentral:rRNA from 1 species